GCCUAAUUGAAUUUUAUUUUUCUCCCCUUAACCAAAUUCAUAAAAUUUUAGUCCAAGGGGAGAACCUCAGACUCUUUUCUGAACCAGUGCAUCUUCAAGGAUUCUCAUUGUUCUUCUGGCUGUAGUAGGAGCAUUUUCUGAAGAAGAAACUGCUGAUCAAGGUGGAGGAGGAGAGAGCCUUGACAGCCUGGCCCAUGGCAGCAUGACACAAUCAUCUUUGUUCUUAAAAAAUGUCCCUGAGAUGUCACUGCUGAGGAGCACAGAGAUGGAAACAGAAAGUGAAUAUGGCUGACAACCAAAAUGAGUCUGCCCUAUAGAUCAUCCUGUACCAGAGAUCUACAGCAUAAUGGCCUGGAAGCAGUCUUUGUUUUGGAGCCAAGCCCAGCAAAGUCUCAAUUCCUUCCCCUUCAAUCGCCAUCUGGAUGAACAAGGCCAAGUCAUUGACCUUCUCUGGGCCUCAGUUUCCUCACCCAUAAACUGGAGCAAAGUCAUCUCCAAGACAGCAGGAACCAUGUUUACUCUUUAAUCAUUGUAUGCUCCCUAAAUAUUUGCUGAACAAGUGAACAAAAAACCUGGUGGUGGUGAAAUUAGACUCCUUCUUGGUGUCACCAGGAGGUCCAGUUAAACAUACCAAGACUUGAGGAAUUAUGUCCAAGGUUCCAGCAUUGAACAUGAAGAACGCAGGAUUUAUUGGCACGUCGUGAUAACCGUAAAGCCCACGCUUCUACUGCAGUGUUGAGUUUGCGUGCCCUUGGGACAGAAGACAGAAUAGAGGCUGAGAAAAUUGCUUGUUGGAAGAAUGAAUCCUGGGUCUGCUAUUACAAGAAACUUCUCAACUUCUAGCCUUAUCUCUCACCACUCCUUCCUUAGAUCCUAAGAUUCAACCAUCCCUGACAUCAACACACCAUGUCCUGUGCUUUGUGCCACCUGUUUACCUUUGUACAUGGCAUUCCCACGUGGUAGAAUCUCGCUCCCAUACAAUCUGUUAUACUUGGAACCCCCUUCCUUUAUUCUCAAAACGUAAUUCCCUUUGAGAAAGUUUCUCUGACGUUUUCCUGACAAUGAACCAAUCCUUCCUCCA
rnacentral:lncRNA from 1 species